GACGAACGCUGGCGGCGUGCUUAACACAUGCAAGUCGAACGGAAAGGCCCUGCUUUUGUGGGGUGCUCGAGUGGCGAACGGGUGAGUAACACGUGAGUAACCUGCCCUUGACUUUGGGAUAACUUCAGGAAACUGGGGCUAAUACCGGAUAGGAGCUCCUGCGGCAUGGUGGGGGUUGGAAAGUUUCGGCGGUUGGGGAUGGACUCGCGGCUUAUCAGCUUGUUGGUGGGGUAGUGGCUUACCAAGGCUUUGACGGGUAGCCGGCCUGAGAGGGUGACCGGCCACAUUGGGACUGAGAUACGGCCCAGACUCCUACGGGAGGCAGCAGUGGGGAAUAUUGCACAAUGGGCGGAAGCCUGAUGCAGCAACGCCGCGUGCGGGAUGACGGCCUGCGGGUUGUAAACCGCUUUCGCCUGUGACGAAGCGUGAGUGACGGUAAUGGGUAAAGAAGCACCGGCUAACUACGUG
rnacentral:rRNA from 1 species